AGAGUUUGAUCAUGGCUCAGAACGAACGCUGGCGGCAGGCUUAACACAUGCAAGUCGAACGAUAUAGUGGCAGACGGGUGAGUAACGCGUGGAAACGUGCCUUUCACUACGGAAUAGCUUUUGGAAACGAAAGGUAAUACCGUAUACGCCCUCCGGGGGAAAGAUUUAUCGGUGAAAGAUCGGUCCGCGUUAGAUUAGCUAGUUGGUGAGGUAAGAGCUCACCAAGGCGACGAUCUAUAGCUGGUCUGAGAGGAUGAUCAGCCACACUGGGACUGAGACACGGCCCAGACUCCUACGGGAGGCAGCAGUGGGGAAUAUUGCACAAUGGGCGCAAGCCUGAUGCAGCCAUGCCGCGUGAAUGAUGAAGGCCUUAGGGUUGUAAAAUUCUUUCGCUAGGGAUGAUAAUGACAGUACCUAGUAAAGAAGCCCCGGCUAACUUCGUGCCAGCAGCCGCGGUAAUACGAAGGGGGCUAGCGUUGUUCGGAAUUACUGGGCGUAAAGCGCACGUAGGCGGACUUUUAAGUCAGAUGUGAAAUCCCAAGGCUCAACCUUGGAACUGCAUUUGAAACUGGGAGUCUAGAGAUCAGGAGAGGUUAGUGGAAUACCGAGUGUAGAGGUGAAAUUCGUAGAAUAUUCGGUGGAACACAGUGGCGAGGCGACUAACUGGACUGAUACUGACGCUGAGGUGCGAAAGUGUGGGGAGCAAACAGGAUUAGAUACCCUGGUAGUCCACACCGUAAACGAUGAGAGCUAGUUGUCUGCAGGCAUGCCUGUAGGUGACGCAGCUAACGCAUUAAGCUCUCCGCCUGGGGAGUACGGCCGCAAGGUUAAAACUCAAAGAAAUUGACGGGGGCCCGCACAAGCGGUGGAGCAUGUGGUUUAAUUCGAAGCAACGCGCAGAACCUUACCUACGCUUGACAUGCCUGGACGACUCCGAGAGAUCGGUUUCUCCCUUCGGGGCCAGUGCACAGGUGCUGCAUGGCUGUCGUCAGCUCGUGUCGUGAGAUGUUGGGUUAAGUCCCGCAACGAGCGCAACCCUCAUCCUUAGUUGCCAUCACGUUUGGGUGGGCACUCUAGGGAAACUGCCGGUGCUAAGCCGGAGGAAGGCGGGGAUGACGUCAAGUCCUCAUGGCCCUUACGCGUAGGGCUACACACGUGCUACAAUGGCAGUGACAAUGGGAUAAUCCCCAAAAGCUGUCUCAGUUCGGAUUGUCGGCUGCAACUCGCCGGCAUGAAGUUGGAAUCGCUAGUAAUCGUGGAUCAGCAUGCCACGGUGAAUACGUUCCCGGGCCUUGUACACACCGCCCGUCACACCAUGGGAGUUGGAUCUACCCGAAGAUUGUGAGCUAACUUCGGAGGCAGCAAGCCACGGUAGGUUCAGCGACUGGGGUGAAGUCGUAACAAGGUAGCCGUA
rnacentral:rRNA from 1 species